UACGAAGGGGGCUAGCGUUGCCCGGAAUCACUGGGCGUAAAGGGCGCGUAGGCGGGUCUUUAAGUCAGGGGUGAAAUCCUGGAGCUCAACUCCAGAACUGCCUUUGAUACUGAAGAUCUUGAGUUCGGGAGAGGUGAGUGGAACUGCGAGUGUAGAGGUGAAAUUCGUAGAUAUUCGCAAGAACACCAGUGGCGAAGGCGGCUCACUGGCCCGAUACUGACGCUGAGGCGCGAAAGCGUGGGUAGCAAACAGG
rnacentral:rRNA from 1 species